AGAGUUUGAUCAUGGCUCAGGAUGAACGCUAGCUACAGGCUUAACACAUGCAAGUCGAGGGGAAACGAUAUUGGAAGCUUGCUUCCGAUAGGCGUCGACCGGCGCACGGGUGAGUAACGCGUAUCCAACCUGCCCAUCACUUGGGAAUAACCUUGCGAAAGUAAGACUAAUGCCCAAUGACAUUUAUAGAAGGCAUCGGAAAUGAAUUAAAGAUUUAUCGGUGAUGGAUGGGGAUGCGUCUGAUUAGCUUGUUGGCGGGGUAACGGCCCACCAAGGCGACGAUCAGUAGGGGUUCUGAGAGGAAGGUCCCCCACAUUGGAACUGAGACACGGUCCAAACUCCUACGGGAGGCAGCAGUGAGGAAUAUAGGUCAAUGGGCGAGAGCCUGAACCAGCCAAGUAGCGUGCAGGAUGACGGCCCUAUGGGUUGUAAACUGCUUUUAUAGGGGAAUAAAGUGAGCCACGUGUGGUUUUUUGCAUGUACCCUAUGAAUAAGGACCGGCUAAUUCCGUGCCAGCAGCCGCGGUAAUACGGAAGGUCCGGGCGUUAUCCGGAUUUAUUGGGUUUAAAGGGAGCGUAGGCCGGAGAUUAAGCGUGUUGUGAAAUGUAGAUGCUCAACAUCUGCACUGCAGCGCGAACUGGUUUCCUUGAGUACGCAUAAAGUGGGCGGAAUUCGUGGUGUAGCGGUGAAAUGCUUAGAUAUCACGAAGAACUCCGAUUGCGAAGGCAGCUCACUGGGGCGCAACUGACGCUGAAGCUCGAAAGCGCGGGUAUCGAACAGGAUUAGAUACCCUGGUAGUCCGCGCGGUAAACGAUGGAUGCCCGCUGUUGGGCCAACUGGUUCAGCGGCCAAGCGAAAGCAUUAAGCAUCCCACCUGGGGAGUACGCCGGCAACGGUGAAACUCAAAGGAAUUGACGGGGGCCCGCACAAGCGGAGGAACAUGUGGUUUAAUUCGAUGAUACGCGAGGAACCUUACCCGGGCUUGAAUUGCAGAGGAAGGAUUUGGAGACAAUGACGCCCUUCGGAGCAGAGGUGACAGGUGGUGCAUGGUUGUCGUCAGCUCGUGUCGUGAGAUGUUGGGUUAAGUCCCGCAACGAGCGCAACCCCUAUCCUCAGUAGCCAGCAUUUAAGGUGGGCACUCUGGGGAGACUGCCAGGGAUAACCUGGAGGAAGGCGGGGAUGACGUCAAAUCAUCAUGCCCCUUAUGAUUUGGGCUACACACGUGCUACAAUGGCGUAAACAAAGGGAAGCGAGAUCGUGAGAUGGAGCAAAUCCCAAAAAUAACGUCCCAGUUCGGACUGUAGUCUGCAACCCGACUACACGAAGCUGGAAUCGCUAGUAAUCGCGGAUCAGAAUGCCGCGGUGAAUACGUUCCCGGGUCUUGUACACACCGCCCGUCACACCAUGGGAGUCAGUAACGCCCGAAGUCAGUGACCUAACUGCAAAGAAGGAGCUGCCGAAGGCGGGACCGAUGACUGGGGUGAAGUCGUAACAAGGUA
rnacentral:rRNA from 1 species